rnacentral:rRNA from 1 species
CACGUGGGCAACCUGCCCCUCGCACCGGGACAGCCUCGGGAAACCGUGGAUAAUACCGGAUACUCCGGACCCCCCGCAUGGGGGGACCGGGAAAGCCCAGACGGCGAGGGAUGGGCCCGCGGCCUGUUAGCUAGUUGGUGGGGCAACGGCCCACCAAGGCGAUUAUGGGUAGCUGGGUUGAGAGACCGACCAGCCAGAUUGGGACUGAGACACGGCCCAGACUCCUACGGGAGGCAGCAGUGGGGAAUCUUGCGCAAUGGGCGAAAGCCUGACGCAGCGACGCCGCGUGCGGGACGAAGGCCUUCGGGUCGUAAACCGCUUUCAGCAGGGACGAGGGGGAGACCUGACGGUACCUGCAGAAGAAGCCCCGGCUAACUACGUGCCAGCAGCCGCGGUAAUACGUAGGGGGCGAGCGUUAUCCGGAUUCAUUGGGCGUAAAGCGCUCGUAGGCGGUCCGUUAGGUCGGGAGUCAAAUCCGGGGGCUCAACCCCCGCCCGCUCCCGAUACCGGCGGACUUGAGUUUGGUAGGGGAAGGCGGAAUUCCAAGUGUAGCGGUGGAAUGC